UACGUAGGUGGCAAGCGUUGUCCGGAUUUAUUGGGUUUAAAGGGUGCGUAGGCGGCCUUGUAAGUCAGUGGUGAAAUACUCCAGCUUAACUGGAGGGGUGCCAAUGAUACUGCAGGGCUUGAGUACAGAUGAGGUAGGCGGAAUUGACGGUGUAGAGGUGAAAUGCAUAGAUAUCGUCAAGAACACCGAUAGCGAAGGCAGCUUACUGGGCUGUAACUGACGCUGAGGCACGAAAGUGUGGGGAGCAAACAGG
rnacentral:rRNA from 1 species